UACGUAGGUGGCAAGCGAUACUCGGAAUCACUAGGCGUAAAGCGCAGGUAGGCGGUUUGGUAAGUCUUUUGUGAAAGCUCCCGGCUUAACUGGGAGAGGUCAAGGGAAACUACCAGGCUAGAGUGCGGAAGAGGAAACUGGAAUUCCCGGUGUAGUGGUGAAAUGCGUAGAUAUCGGAAGGAACACCUGUGGCGAAAGCGGCUCACUGGACCAUUACUGACGCUGAUGCACGAAAGCUAGGGGAGCAAACAGG
rnacentral:rRNA from 1 species